rnacentral:rRNA from 1 species
GACGAACGCUGGCGGCGUGCUUAACACAUGCAAGUCGAACGGAAAGGCCUGCUUUCCCUUGUGGAUUGCGGGUACUCGAGUGGCGAACGGGUGAGUAACACGUGAGUGAUCUACCCCCAACUUGGGUAUAAGCCUGGGAAACUGGGUCUAAUUCCCGAUAGGACUGCAGGGUGGUGCCUGUGGUGGAAAACGAUUUUCUAGUGGUUGGGGAUGAGCUCGCGGCCUAUCAGCUUGUUGGUGGGGUAAUGGCCUACCAAGGCGGCGACGGGUAGCCGGCCUGGGAGGGUGGACGGCCACAUUGGGACUGAGAUACGGCCCAGACUCCUACGGGAGGCAGCAGUGGGGAAUAUUGCACAAUGGGCGGAAGCCUGAUGCAGCGACGCCGCGUGGGGGAUGACGGCCUUCGGGUUGUAAACUCCUUUCGACCGCGAGGAAGCCACCUGGUUGGAAGGGUGGUGACGGUAGUGGUAGAAGAAGCACCGGCUAACUACGUG